rnacentral:lncRNA from 1 species
GUGGACUCUAAGGAGUGGAGACUGCAAACAAACCUGCCACUCUGAAGAAAAGGAAAGCAUGACUUUCCAUGGGGAGCACAAUAUUUUUCGUGUCAUGACAAAAAUAAGAUCACUUUAGUGCCAGUAACUCCUGAAGAGAUGACAGAACUUGAAGUAAAGAAUAGCAAGAUUUGGAAGAGGUCAUGUGAAGAAAGCUUGAUGCUGCUGGGCAGCUGGACUGAGUGUGGCAUGAUCAUAUUUAUGGAAGACUAUGAGACAUGCAGUCUGAUUAGUGCUGAAAAUACAAAUUUUCUGAGCCACAGGAGUAUGUUCAAAGAGAUAUAUUUCCAUUUUGGCCACAUGAAUUCACCUCUGAGAUAAGUGCUGACACCAAUUUUCUUAGUUUAAGUCAGAACAACCAAGACCUUCCGGGAGAGGAGCAUGGUAGGUUGUCUGAAGGAAACUUGCUUUAAAUUUUCUAUGUUGGUUAGUGAUUUUGAG